rnacentral:rRNA from 1 species
UACGAAGGGGGCUAGCGUUGUUCGGAGUUACUGGGCGUAAAGGGCGCGUAGGCGGCGCACCAAGUCAGGCGUGAAAGCCCGGGGCUCAACCCCGGAAUUGCCUUUGAGACUGCAUCGCUAGAAUUGUGGAGAGGUAAGUGGAAUUCCGAGUGUAGAGGUGAAAUUCGUAGAUAUUCGGAAGAACACCAGUGGCGAAGGCGACUUACUGGACACAUAUUGACGCUGAGGUGCGAAAGCGUGGGGAGCAAACAGG